AUUGAACGCUGGCGGCAUGCCUUACACAUGCAAGUCGAACGGUAACAGGUCUUCGGAUGCUGACGAGUGGCGAACGGGUGAGUAAUACAUCGGAACGUGCCUAGUAGUGGGGGAUAACUACUCGAAAGAGUGGCUAAUACCGCAUGAGAUCUACGGAUGAAAGCAGGGGAUCGCAAGACCUUGUGCUACUAGAGCGGCCGAUGGCAGAUUAGGUAGUUGGUGGGAUAAAAGCUUACCAAGCCGACGAUCUGUAGCUGGUCUGAGAGGGCGAUCAGCCACACUGGGACUGAGAAACGGCCCAGACUCAUACGGGAGGCAGCAGUGGGGAAUUUUGGACAAUGGGCGCAAGCCUGAUCCAGCAAUGCCGCGUGCAGGAUGAAGGCCUUCGGGUUGUAAACUGCUUUUGUACGGAACGAAAAGCCCCGGGUUAAUACCCUGGGGUCAUGACGGUACCGUAAGAAUAAGCACCGGCUAACUACGUGCCAGCAGCCGCGGUAA
rnacentral:rRNA from 1 species